GCUCCCCUAGACUCAGUCCACUCAGAUGGCACCACUGAAGACAUUUCUGAUCUCAGUGAAAACAUCAUGGAAGGAGGGCUGGCCACAAACCAAUCCUUGUGGAAAUAAAAGAGUAGCCACUGUGGAAUGAGCUGCUGAACUUUUGUCCUUGGUAAAGCUGUACUGAGUGGAUAGACUGCUGGAAUUUUCAUGUUAGAUGGCAUCAGAGGUGUGUUCUGCU
rnacentral:lncRNA from 1 species